GCCAUUGUUGCUCAGGGGUUAGAGCACAGGCCUGUGCACCAAACUAUAGUGGGUUCAAUUCCCAGUCAAGGGCA
rfam:Myotis brandtii contig274358, whole genome shotgun sequence.